GUAGUCUUCUAAGGGCCCGGCAGGACACCGGGGCUAUCUCGGGAACUACAAUGCCCAAAAUGCGCCAAGGUCGGACGCGCCCAGAGUGGGCCCCGGGAGCGAAGGGGACCCGGCCGCCAUGUUAGGAGUGCCGGGAAGAGUCCGCGGAACCUGGCUGAGGUUUUAGGCAGCGCGCGAGCCGAAUGGUGGUGCGGUGGGGACGGCGGUGGAGGGUAAACCGAGCGGAGAGCACAGGGCCCAAACCCGGGGACCCAGAGACUGCACUAUGAAAGAUGGAAAAUGUCUUUUCUUCCUGAGGGUGUCUGAAGGGUUAAAAAUAUGCUGUGCUGAAAUGUUUUAGCAUUAAUCUACCACAAACUGGAAAUUCCUUAGCAGACAGUAAGUGAAUAAAGAGGGAUAAUUUAUUUUCUGUACAGCAGAAAGCUAAUAAAUGCUAUCUUAAGUGUAUUUUUAGCUACCAUUGUCACUCAACAGUCCUUGAAGGUGAGAAUUGACAUCAUUCUAAAAUUAAGGCACAAAUCUGCCCAAAGUCAUCCAUUAUUAUUAAAGGAAUUGGAAAAGAAACACAUGAAGUGAAUAUCCUGGACCGAAGUAUCUUCUCUCCCAUUUGGCCAACACACAUUUUAUUUAUUUUUUCUUUUCUUUUUUUUUUUUCCAACACACAUUUUAAAUACAGAGAAGUUAUGGUCAAUGCUACAAUCAUUUUCUCUUUGUGUUCACAAUGUACUUACCUUUUCAUCUUUUAUAUUCUACCCUCCAAGAAAAACAUUUGAAGGUUUCAGGGGUUUGUGUUGGUAAUUUACAGCUAAUAGCGUUUUUUAAAUGCCCAUUCUUCCCACCUACUGUGACUGGGUAUGUUUUCACACAGCUUGUUUAGAAGGCAGUAAAGCAGUUUGGACUAAGAAAAUGUCAAUAAAAGUGAGGAGUGAUUUCAAAGUCCUUUUUUUUUUUUUUUUUUUUAACAUUUAACUUAUUUAUUCAUGAGAGACACACAGAGAGAGACAGAGACGCAGGCAGAGAGAGAAGCAGGCUCCAUGCAGGGAGCCCGAUGUGGGACUCAGUCCCGAGUCUCCAGGAUCACACCCUGGGCCAAAGGCGGUGCUAAACCGCUGAGCCACCGGGGCUGCCCUCAAAGCCCUUUUGAGUCACAAGGAGAACCAGACCAAUAUCUAAAUAAGCAUGUGAUACAGAAGCACUCAUGUUGCUCAAUCCAUAACCUGAAGUUAAACAGGACUUAGUGUUACAGAUGAAGAGAUUGAAUAGCUGUGAAAUAAAACAUGGCCUGACUUGUACAGGUACAUAGGUAAAGCCAUUUUGUAGGCUUUACCUAUGCUACUAGGAGUGAACAUUCAUUCACUUCACUGCAGAAGCACAGUGUGCUGCCCUGGACCCUGCUGGGGCAUUUCAUAAUCUAUGAUGUAUGGACCUUCUUGCCAUUCUAAACUACAAGGAUUUCUGAAUUCUGCAUCACACCUAAUCCCAAGGGAUUGUCCAUCUAUAGUUACUUCCUUUCUGGAGUAGUGAUCUAGGUGAUUUGGUACGUAGAAAUAAACAGUGACACUAUGUUGUUUUUUUUUUCUAAUUUUUAUUUAUUUA